rnacentral:rRNA from 1 species
UACCAGCACCCCGAGUGGUCGGGACGUUUAUUGGGCCUAAAGCAUCCGUAGCCGGUUCUACAAGUCUUCCGUUAAAUCCAACUGCUUAACAGGUGGGCUGCGGAAGAUACUAUAGAGCUAGGAGGCGGGAGAGGCAAGCGGUACUCGAUGGGUAGGGGUAAAAUCCGUUGAUCCAUAGAAGACCACCGGUGGCGAAGGCGGUGGUCUGGGCCGGCACUGACGCUGAGGAGCGAAAGCGUGGGUAGCAAACAGG